rfam:Lasallia pustulata genome assembly, contig: scaffold292_size35519
UGACCUUGGAUCAGGUAGGGAUACCCGUUGAACUUAAGCAUAUCAAUAAGCAGAGGAGAAGAAACCAACCAGGAUUGCGCCAGUAACGGCGAGUGAAGCGGCAACAGCUCAAAUUUGGAAUCCGGGCCCCCAGGGCCCAAGUUAUAAUUUGCUGAGGAUGCUUCAGAUGCGGCGCCGGUCUAAGUUCCUUGGAACAGGACAUCACAGAGGGUGAGAAUCCCGUACGUGACUGGCGGCCUGGCUCAGGUGAAGCUCCUUCGACGAGUCGAGUUGUUUGGGAAUGCAGGUCCAAAUGGGUGGUAAAUUCCAUCUAAAGCUAAAUACCGGCCAGAGACCGAUAGCGCACAAGUAGAGUGAUCAAAAGAUGAAAAGCACUUUGGAAAGAGAGUUAAACCAUAUGUGAAAUUGUUGAAAGGGAAGCGCUUGCAGCCAGACUUGCCUGCGGGCAAUCAGCUGCCCUUGGGGGCGGUGCACUUGCCCGCAGCCAGGCCAGCAUUGGUUUGGGCAGCUGGACAAAGGCCCCAGGAAUGUGGCUCCCCCUGGGGAGUGUUACAGCCCGGGACGUCAUACGGCCCGCCUGGACUGAGGACCGUACUCCGGCAAGGAUGCUGGCGUAAUGGCUGUCAGCGACCCGUCUUAAAACACGGACCACGGAGUCUAACAUCUAUACGAGUGUUUGGGCAUCAAACCCCGGCGUAGAAUGAAGGUGAACAGAGGUGGGAACCCCCCACCCGGUGCACCAUCGACCAAUCCUGAUGCCUUUGGAUGGAUUUGAGUAAGAGCAUAGCCGUUAGGACCCAAAAGAUGGUGAAUUAUGCCUGGAUAGGGUGAAGCUAGAGGAAACUCUGGUGGAGGCUUGCAGCGGUUCUGACAUGCAAAACAAUCGUCAAAUUUGGGUAUAGGGGCAAAAGACUAAUUGAACCAUCUAGUAGCUGGUUCCUGCCAAAGUUUCCCUCAGGAUAGCAGUAGCGUGUUCGGUUUUAUGAGGUAAAGCAAAUGAUUAGAGGCCUUGGGGUUGGAACAACCUUAACCUAUUCUCAAACUUUAAAUAUGUAAGAAGUCCUUGUUGCUCUGUUGAACGGGGACCAUUGAAUGCAUCAUUACUAGUGGGCCAUUUUUGGUAAGCAGAACUGGCAAUGCGGGAUGAACCAAAUACGAGGUUAAGGUGCCAGAAUGCACGCUCAUCAGACACCACAAAAGGUGUUAGUUCAUCCAGAUAGCAGGACGGUGGCCAUGGAAGUUGGAACCCGCUAAGGAGUGUAUAAAAACUCACCAGCCAAAUAAACUAGCCCUGAAAAUGGAUGGCGUUCAAGCGUGCUACCCAUACCUUGCCGCCGGGGUAGAAACAAUGCCCUGGCAAGUAAGCAGGCAUGGGGGUCAGUGACAAAGCCUUGGGAGCAAUCCUGGGUCAAACGGUCCCUAGUGCAGAUCUUGGUGGUAGUAGCAAAUACUCAAAUAAGAACUUUGAGGACUGAAGUGGGGAAAGGUUCCAUGUGAACAGCAGUUAGACAUGGGUUAGUUAGCCUUAAGAGAUAGGGAAGCUCCGUUUGAAAGUGCGCACUCGUGCGCCACUCCUUAAAAGGGAAGCUGGUUAACAUUCUGGCACCUGGAUGUGGAUUCUCCACGGCAACAUAACUGAAUGUGGAGAUGCCAGUGGGAGCCCCGGGAACAGUUCUCUUUUCUUCUUAACGGCCAAUCACCCUGAAAUUGGUUUGUCCAGAGCUAGGGUUUGACAGCCGGCAGAGCCCCGCACCUUUGCAGGAUCUGGUGCGCUCUUGACGGCCCUUGAAAAUCCGCAGGAAGGAUUAGUUUUCAUACCAGGUCAUACCCAUAACCGCAGCAGGUCUCCAAGGUGAAAAGCCUCUAGUUGAUAGAAUAAUACAGGUAAGGGAAGUCGGCAAAAUAGAUCCAUAACUUCAGGAAAAGGAUUGGCUCUAAGGGUUGGGUGCGUUUGGCCUUAGGAGGAUGCCUCCAGAGCAGGCAGGCACUAGCAGGGCAACCGGCCGGCGCCUGUCAGCAUCGGUGUGCGGACGCCUUUGGCAGGUCUCAGCUGUCUGGCGCACGCUUAACAAGUGAUUUAGAACUGGUCCGGACAAGGGGAAUCUGACUGUCUAAUUAAAACAUAGCACUACAAUGGCCAGCAAGUGGUGUUAAAGCAAUGUGAUUUCUGCCCAGUGCUCUGAAUGUCAAAGUGAAGAAAUUCAAGUGCGGGUAAACUGUGGGGGUAACUAUGACUCUCUUAAGGUAGCCAAAUGCCUCAUCAUCUAAUUAGUGACGUGUAUUAAAUGAUUAACAAGAUUCCCACUGUCCCUACCUAUUAUCUAGCAAAACUACAGCCAAGGGAACGGGCUUGGCGGAAUCAGCGGGGAAAGAAGACCCUGUUGAGCUUGACUCUAGUUUGACAUUGUGAAAAGAUAUAGGGGGUGUAGAAUAGUGGGAGCUCUGGCGCCGGUGAAAUACCACUACCCUUAUUGCUUUUUUACUUAUUCAGUAAACCAGAAAUGGGUGUUGCCGCCCAACUUCUGGUGUCAAGGUCCCCCGCAGGCCAAUCCGGGUUGAAGACAUUGUCAGGUGGGGAGUUUAGCUGGGGCGGCACAUCUGUUAAACCAUAACGCAGGUGUCCUAAGGGGGACUCAUGGAGAACAGAAAUCUCCAGUGAAACAAAAGGGUAAAAGUCCCCUUGAUUUUGAUUUUCAGUGUGAAUACAAACCAUGAAAGUGUGGCCUAUUGAUCUUUUAGUCCCUCAAAAUUUGAGGCUAGAGGUGCUAGAAAAGCUACCACAGGGAUAACUGGCUUGUGGCAGCCAAGCGUUUAUAGCGACGUUGAUUUCUGAUCCUUUGAUGUUGGCUCUUCCUAUCAUACCAAAGCAGAAUUUGGUAAGCGGUGGAUUGUUCACCCACUAAUAGGGAAUGUGAGCUGGGUUUAGACCAUUGUAAGACAGGUUAGUUUUACCUGACUGAUGACCGUUGCUGCCAUGGUGGUUCAACUUAGUACAAGAGGAACCGUUGAUUCAGAUAAUUGGUUUUUGUGGCUGUCCAACCAGGCAGUACUGCAAAGCUACCAUCUGCUGGAUUAUGGCUGAACGCCUCUAAGUCAGAAUCCAUGGGGAUGUGGCAAUUCCCCCCCACACAUUGUACUCGGAUACGAGUAGGCCUCCAGGCCCUGGACCUUAGCGGGCCGGCAGCGGCACCCAGAUGGAAGUCCCAGGCGCGAGCCGGCAGAUUGCAAUUUCACCAUACAUGGGGAUAAAUCCUUUGCACAUGAUUUAACGGAGGUGCUGGGUCCUGUAAGUGGUAGAGUAGCCUUCUUGUUACAAUCCACUGAGGGUAAUCCGGAUGCCGGCUAGAUUUGU